rnacentral:rRNA from 1 species
UGUGACAUACCACUUGUUGCCUCGGCGGAUCAGCCCGCUCCCGGUAAAACGGGACGGCCCGCCAGAGGACCCCUAAAACUCUGUUUCUAUAUGUAACUUCUGAGUAAAACCAUAAAUAAAUCAAAACUUUCAACAACGGAUCUCUUGGUUCUGGCAUCGAUGAAGAACGCAGCAAAAUGCGAUAAGUAAUGUGAAUUGCAGAAUUCAGUGAAUCAUCGAAUCUUUGAACGCACAUUGCGCCCGCCAGUAUUCUGGCGGGCAUGCCUGUUCGAGCGUCAUUUCAACCCUCAAGCACAGCUUGGUGUUGGGACUCGCGUUAAUUCGCGUUCCUCAAAUUGAUUGGCGGUCACGUCGAGCUUCCAUAGCGUAGUAGUAAAACCCUCGUUACUGGUAAUCGUCGCGGCCACGCCGUUAAACCCCAACUUCUGAAUGUUGACCUCGGAUCAGGUAGGAAUACCCGCUGAACUUAAGCAUAUCAAUA